AACAAGAACAAAAAAACGCGAUACCCAAUAAAAACAACAGUAAACGGCUCUGACAUAACAAGAACAACACGGCAGAGGCGUAGCAAGCAGAUUUUUUUGGAGUCGACGUGCUUUCCAGGGGGCCGCCCCCGCAGCCUGACACAGAACAAUAAAACUACCUCCAAGGUAGCGGCAGUCAAGGUUGGAUCACGUUGGAUGAACGCAAGUCAGCGCUCAAAAAAAUACGUUUGCUCUUGGCCCCGGUUGGGGGCCCCGCAAUGCAGAGACAACCGCCGACAAAAACAACAAUAGGCUCGUCUCCAAUAAUAAGAAAAGAGCAGGCAACAACGCUUAUGAGGGGAGCUUCGGCUCCCCUCAGUGCUUCCUGCCCUCCUCGU
rnacentral:sRNA from 1 species